rnacentral:rRNA from 1 species
CCUACGGGGUGCUGCAGUGGGGAAUAUUGGACAAUGGGCGAAAGCCUGAUCCAGCCAUGCCGCGUGUGUGAAGAAGGCCUUCGGGUUGUAAAGCACUUUCAGUGGGGAAGAAAGCCUUGGGGCUAAUACCCUCGAGGAAGGACAUCACCCACAGAAGAAGCACCGGCUAACUCCGUGCCAGCAGCCGCGGUAAUACGGAGGGUGCGAGCGUUAAUCGGAAUUACUGGGCGUAAAGCGCGCGUAGGCGGUCUGAUAAGCCGGUUGUGAAAGCCCCGGGCUCAACCUGGGAACGGCAUCCGGAACUGUCAGGCUAGAGUGCAGGAGAGGAAGGUAGAAUUCCCGGUGUAGCGGUGAAAUGCGUAGAGAUCGGGAGGAAUACCAGUGGCGAAGGCGGCCUUCUGGACUGACACUGACGCUGAGGUGCGAAAGCGUGGGUAGCAAACAGGAUUAGAUACCCCAGUAGU